GAGAGUCUGAUCAUGUGAUGAGUUCGCAAAUCAAAAUUCCCACUUGUGCUGCCACUGGACAGCAAAAAAACAACUUUUUCCAAAUCAGCCCUAAUUAGAAGAGGGAGUGGUUACAAAAUUAAUUGGACAACAACUAGUUGGAACCAACAUGCAGUAUAUCCAGCAGAAAGAGAGGCAAGAACCAUUGGUCCGCCAGUUCAGGGACAAGCUAAACUAUUCACAGCCUUUUGUAAUUUUCUGUGUAAUUGCAUUGCUGGACUUUUUGAAACUAUGUAUUUGUAUUGUUUUAAAAAUGUACAGAUUAAAGGAAAUGUGUGGAUUAAA
ensembl:lncRNA